ACGUAGGGAGCGAGCGUUAUCCGGAUUUACUGGGUGUAAAGGGCGAGUAGGCGGGAUAGCAAGUCAGAUGUGAAAACCCGGGGCUCAACUCCGGGCGUGCAUCAGAAACUGCUGUUCUUGAGUGAUGGAGAGGCAGGCGGAAUUCCCAGUGUAGCGGUGAAAUGCGUAGAUAUUGGGAGGAACACCAGUGGCGAAGGCGGCCUGCUGGACAUUAACUGACGCUGAGGAGCGAAAGCGUGGGGAGCAAACAG
rnacentral:rRNA from 1 species